GGAAUAUAAGAAACCGUUUCUUAAAUUUUAACUAAAAAAGCUAAGAACCGGAUCUUAAAUAAUUAAGAGCCGGUUCUUAGCUUUUUUAGUUAAAAGUUAAGAGACGGUUUCUUAUAUUCC
rfam:Brassica napus, WGS project CCCW01000000 data, contig: 726